CCUCACUGUAAACUCUCUCUCAGGUUGUGCAUCUCUGCAACAAGACCUAGACAAGCUUCAGGAAUGGGAACAAGAGUGGGACAUGGAAUUUAACCCAUCCAAAUGCCAGGUCCUACACAUCACAAGGAACCGCAACGUCAUUGAACACGGUUACUUUCUCCAUGGCCAAGCUCUUGAGUCCGUCUCUGAUGCUAAAUAUCUUGGACUCGAUCUCUCUUCUGACCUCAGCUAUAAUACACACAUUGACAGAAUCACCAACAAUACAAACAAAUCACUAGGCUUCAUUAAAAGGAACAUCACAACACAUAAUUAAAAGGUACGAGAACUCGCAUACAAGUCUCUGGUCUGACUACAAGUUGAAUACGCUUCCACUGUCUGGAGCCCAUAGACCAAAACUGCCAUCAAUAAAGUGGAAAGAGUGCAGAACCGGGCUGCACGCUGGGUGCAGCGAGAUUACUCUCCCUUUUCCAGUGUCUCGGCCAUGGUACAAGAUCUAGGCUGGAGAUCGCUCGCAGAUCGUAGAAAUGACAGCAAACUCAUCAUGUUCUACAAAAUCUAUCACAACCUUGUUGCCAUACCUCUCCCUCAAUAUAUAAAAGCAACAAUCCGCUUCACUAGACACAUGCACCCACUGUAUCUACAAAAGAUACAGACAGGAUCACUCUACCACUAUUACUCCUUUUUCCCACACAGCAUCACACUAUGGGACAAGCUCUCAGCUGAUAUCGCUACCCUAUCCGAUCUUGAAAAGUUCAAGAGGGCAGUGGUAAAUGUGCGGUACUAGUCUGUUAAAUGAUGUUUUUAACCCUCACUUGUAUCUUUCACCUUCACUAGACUCUUUUAACCACUUGACUUCUCUCCAUUCUCCUGGAGAUUUCAAGCUUUUAGUCUCACUACCCAACAAUAUCCUUUGCUGGGUCCUUUUUACCUUUCACACUCACUAAUGUUCCUGACGUGCACCUUUUCCCUGCCUAUAAUACUCGAAAGAGCGGUUUGCAGUAUACAGAGGUAGAUAGAUAGCAUUUACUAUAUAAAUCAAUUUACGGAACUUGUCAUUUACCGAAACCUCCAUAACCCCACUGGGAUACUUUUUAUAUAGACACCAAACGCAAAGCCUAUCCCAAGGCAAUGCCCCAUUUGCGUGGUAAAGAGCAAGACGACUAUGUACCUCCAGGUAGCAGACCACGUUCGCUGGGUGCAAGCACUGACGGCAGACCCAAUGAAGCCGUUAAUGUCCGAGGCACGUGCUAAGACCGGGCGGAAAGUGAAGAAGACAAAGCCGAGGAAUUACUACUCUUGCUGGCUGUGCGACCGGUCGGUGAUUGACCGGCUGCGUCAUCUAGAACAGGAGCACAAAAUGGAGGCUGGGACAUUCAAUUUCGUUUACACAAGAGGGCCGUUUCCGGAAGGUCACAAAAACUUAAGGAAAGGUGACCAGCAGACUCGCCACUCAUGAUGACUCGGCAUAGGAGGAUGAGAAGGUGGUGGAUGAGGAGGAGGAGGAAGAGGACUUUUCGUUCCUAACGCGGAAAUACUGCCUGAGCCUGGAACCCAAUGCAAGGGUGAUGCAUGGUCGGAGAAGCUGCAAGUAACAAUAUGGAUUGCUUAUAUAGUGUAAAGUCUCGAGUCCGUUUACGGGGUAGAACCAGUACUUGGUGCAUUAAGCCCUGUUUUCCCAGAUUUUUUUAAAUUAUAUACAUUUCAAUUGAUAGUCAUUAUUAUUGCAACAUGUAUAUAUCUUAAAAACCGUGAGGAAAUAUAUAUAAGUACAUUAAAAUUUAAGAUAAAUAUUAUUUAUUUAUAAUACUUUGGAAUUACUGGUUGUGAGUUAAUUAUAUGCGAUUUCACCAUCUAGCAUAGAAUAUCAUCCAAUAAUACUUGUUGCAGUUUCAAUCGUUGACUCAUAUGUAGGCUACAUGUUCCUGCUGAGCAGGCCAGGUGGGUUGACAAACGAGUCGAAAACACAAGAGGUCAACAUGAAGAUCAACCGGUUCCUGGCCCUGUCUGGCUACUUGGAAGGAGUGGUGUUGAGUGACGUGCUGUUGUGGAAGGGCCAUAUGGAGGUCCACGACAGUUCCUUAACACCACUCACCAGCUGAAGACGGUGCAGACUGCACUAACGGCAAUCAAGAACUUCCUGAAGUGGUGCGAGGGAACGGUCUAGCGGACGCCCGCGCAUUGAACAAUUCCGAUCUCCUUCUCACAGGCUGCCUGACCUCAACCCGCCUGGAUAUGAGCCGUCGCGAGGUUAUUCGGAGGGUAGAGGAGAGUGCGGCCAUCCUGACGGACGCAAACCUGGAGCGCCACUUCACUGAGAGUGAGCAUGUAGUGAAAACGAUCAAGGUGAUCCAGGAGCCCCCAGCUGGCACACCUGACAGAUAUUCGGGGAAUAAUCAUUAAACUGAUAGCGCUCUAUAACGCCUCCUGAACUGGCAAGUAGGAGUACCUAAAGAUUGAGCUGGAGACAGUGAAGGUGCUGACCUCUGUGUGGAACACUUAGCAGCUGGCAAGUUUUCAUAUUGAAGGGCAUGGUUCCCAACCGCCCAUCACA